GACGAACGCUGGCGGCGUGCUUAACACAUGCAAGUCGAACGAUGAAGCGGUGCUUGCACCGUGGAUUAGUGGCGAACGGGUGAGUAAUACGUGAGUGACCUACCUUUGACUCUGGGAUAAGCCUGGGAAACUGGGUCUAAUACCGGAUACGACCAAUCUCUGCAUGGGGUGUUGGUGGAAAGCGUUAUGGAGUGGUUUUAGAUGGGCUCACGGCCUAUCAGCUUGUUGGUGAGGUAAUGGCUUACCAAGGCGACGACGGGUAGCCGGCCUGAGAGGGUGACCGGCCACACUGGGACUGAGACACGGCCCAGACUCCUACGGGAGGCAGCAGUGGGGAAUAUUGCACAAUGGGCGCAAGCCUGAUGCAGCGACGCCGCGUGAGGGAUGACGGCCUUCGGGUUGUAAACCUCUGUUAGCAUCGAAGAAGCGAAAGUGACGGUAGGUGCAGAGAAAGCGCCGGCUAACUACGUGCCAGCAGCCGCGGUAAUACGUAGGGCGCGAGCGUUGUCCGGAAUUAUUGGGCGUAAAGAGCUUGUAGGCGGUUGGUCGCGUCUGCUGUGAAAGGCCGGGGCUUAACUCCGGUUUUGCAGUGGGUACGGGCUACCUAGAAGUGCAGUAGGGGAGACUGGGAAUUCCUGGUGUAGCGGCGGAACGCACAGACAUCAGGAGGAACCCCGAUGGCGAAGGCAGGUCUCCGGGCUGUAACUGACGCUGAGAAGCGAAAGCAUGGGGAGCGAACAGGAUUAGAUACCUUGGUAGUCCAAGCCGCAAACGUUGGGCACUAGGUGUGGGGGACAUUCCACGUUUUCCGCGCCGUAGCUAACGCAUUAAGUGCCCCGCCUGGGGAGUACGGCCGCAAGGCUAAAACUCAAAGGAAUUGACGGGGGCCCACACAAGCGGCGGAGCAUGCGGAUUAAUUCGAUGCAACGCGAAGAACCUUACCAAGGCUUGACAUGCAUUAGAUCGCGUCAGAGAUGGCGUUUCCCUUCGGGGCUGGUGUACAGGUGGUGCAUGGUUGUCGUCAGCUCGUGUCGUGAGAUGUUGGGUUAAGUCCCGCAACGAGCGCAACCCUCGUUCUAUGUUGCCAGCGGUUCGGCCGGGGACUCAUAGGAGACUGCCGGGGUCAACUCGGAGGAAGGUGGGGAUGACGUCAAAUCAUCAUGCCCCUUAUGUCUUGGGCUUCACGCAUGCUACAAUGGCCGGUACAGAGGGUUGCGAUACUGUGAGGUGGAGCUAAUCCCUUAAAGCCGGUCUCAGUUCGGAUUGGGGUCUGCAACUCGACCCCAUGAAGUCGGAGUCGCUAGUAAUCGCAGAUCAGCAACGCUGCGGUGAAUACGUUCCCGGGCCU
rnacentral:rRNA from 1 species